rnacentral:rRNA from 1 species
GACGAACGCUGGCGGCGUGCCUAACACAUGCAAGUCGAGCGAAGUAUAUUUAAGUGAAGUUUUCGGAUGGAACUUAAAUAUAUCUUAGCGGCGGACGGGUGAGUAACGCGUGAGCAACCUGCCUUUCACAAAGGGAUAGCCUCGGGAAACUGGGAUUAAUACCAUAUGAAACUUAACUUUCGCAUGAAGAUAAGUCAAAGCGAAUAAGCGGUGAAAGAUGGGCUCGCGUCCUAUUAGCUAGUUGGUGAGGUAACGGCGUCACCAAAGGCGACGAUAGGUAGCCGGCCUGAGAGGGUGAACGGCCACACUGGAACUGAGACACGGUCCAGACUCCUACGGGAGGCAGCAGUGGGGGAUAAUUGCACAAUGGAGGAAACUCUGAUGCAGCGACGCCGCGUGAGUGAAGAAGGCCUUCGGGUCGUAAAGCGUCUGUCCUAGGGGAAGGAUAAUGACGGUACCCGUACGGAGGGAAGCCCCGGGACUAACCUAACGUGCCAGCCAGCCGCGGUAAAGAGUAGUACA